rnacentral:lncRNA from 1 species
GGGCUCCCGGGGCGAUGCAGGCUGUGUCACUGGGAGCACCCAGGGCCAGAUGGGUGCAGACCGGGGCGGUGACAAUGCCCGAGGGACCCACACGGCUCACACCCACACGUUAACUCCUGGUUCUUCGGAGCUUUUACUCCAGCAAGUUUUGUACCAAGCCCAGCGCUUUUCACGCAUUACCAAAUUCGCUCUUCCCUGGAAGUUUCGAUCAGCCAACAACCAAUUACUGAGCAUCUACCAUGUGCUAGGCGCUGCGGAUGCAGAAUAUGUGCCACAGCCCCGCCUGCAGAGGACUCACGGUCCAGUGCUCACAGGCGAGCCAAGAAUGGCUAUAGCGCGGCGUGAUGAGACCCCAGCAGCUCCAGGCACCCGGCCGCCUUUGAAGAAACAUCUGGCAAAUGCGUGAAAGCCACGCUCGUGACAGGGAGAAGAUAAAGUUGCUGGAGAAGGCACGUUCCAGUUCUCCUCGGGCGUUCUUCACAGAGGACGUCACACACUGAGCCGGGCCUUGAAGAUGAAGUGCUCCUCUCCGUGGGGAAGGGAGGCGGGCGUGCCACGGAGUGUUGGCCCCACGCCCAUCCCUCGGCACUGGUGUUUCCGUGCACGCCAGCCCCACCCAACGGCCGGCUCCAGGAGCCCUGUGUCUGAGGGUUUGUCCCACCUGGGCUUGCUCUGCCCUCUCCAGGGGCAGACAGGAAGGGGCUGGGGGCGCUCCCUCCCAGGAAGCCGGGAACUGCCAACACACAGGAGCUGGGCAUCAAUACCCCGGCUCUUUCCCGUCUCUGGCGGAGAACUCGGAGAUGCGUCUGGGAUCUGCCACGGCCUCCAGUGGGCUGAGGCCCGGCCACCCGCGGCGGGAGCUGCCACUGAGGAUGCGUCCUCUAUGGCUGCCUUCCUCCCUCGCUCCUUCCUCCGGCUCCCCAGCCAGGGCAUCCUGCCCGCACCAAGUAGACUUCUCAUCUUGGGGUCAGCUGCCAGGGGAAGCUGGACCACGACAGCAGGACAGUCAAAGUUUUCUUUGAAAGAAGAGCAGAGAGGAGUGUGGGUCGCUGACAAGCUGCAUUCCUGAAAUGCGGGAAGUGACCCAAUCAAUGAGGAGGCUGGGAAUCUGGCCGUGGCCACCCCUUCUGGCCUGCUUUGGACCAGCCCAGCGGAGAAUGUUAUCAUCCUCAUCUUGCAGACAAAGCCUCCGAUGCCCAGAGGAGGGGAGCUCACUCGGAAACACAGAGCCGGUGAGCUGUGGAUCGCAGACUGGCGUAUGUCCAUGCUAAUCUGGCUGGGUCAGUCUCAGCGUGACUCAGUUUCUCUGCAUGUCACUGCUUGGUUCUACAGAGUAGGGUUCAAGGUCGGAAACCCCUGUGGGCUGCCCCCUGUGAGCAGCUGUGAUUGUCGCCACUGACACGCCCAGAAGGAGCUGACGGAGGAAUUGCAGAGCGAGGAAUGAGCCAGAGCAUCCAGGAAGUGCCGAUCCCCUGCGGGAUGAGCUUGGAGCUGGGAUGAGGGACACACAGGCAGGAGCUGGAGCAACUGGAACAGGCAGGAGGAGCUAAGAUGCUCCUUGGUCCCGAGGGUUUCAAGUCCCAGGAGGAGCUGCUGUCUGUCUCCCCGCAGCGCACGGACUCGCCUCCUGGGUGUCUGUCAGCAGAGUUUCCAAUUUCAGGGUAAACUCAACUAACCAAACCAGCGAAAGGAAAAACACAAUCUCUUGCUACUCCUUCCUGCUCUGCUCCUUCCAGAAGCCCUGGCAUUCUUUUUUGACGGAUCUGCAGGAGGAGCCGUGGCAGGCGGGGCUCCCUGGGAGCCGGAGGGCCCUGGUGACUUAGAAGGUCAGGGGCUGCGCUUUCUAGAACGUGCCAAAGGCUUGGAAGGAGCCUCUGAGCUGAGAGGAAGGACAGGGAGGGAGCUGUCUGAAAGCAAAGGAUGGAAAACUCUGAGCACCAAGAUCUCGGCCGCUUCUCCCCUUCAACUGGAUGAGCACUUUCUGCGACAGCAAAGGGGGCAUCCCAGCCUCCUUCACCCCCCGGCCAGGCCCACCGGCCCUGGGCCACCCCCGCCUGCUGAGGCUGGAGGGCUCCACAGCCAGGCGGGGAGGGCGCGAGUCUCGAGGCCGCCAUUCCUGUGUGUGGCCUCAGCGAAGGGGUCCCCUCACGUGGGCACCCCGUCCUCCUGGGUCUCUCCUCCCAGUCAGGGCUCGGCUCACCGUUUCUGCCAAGGGCCAGAGAGGAAAUAUUUUAGGUGUCGCCACCUCGGUGAUGCUCAGCUCUGCACGACAGGCGUCCCAGGCCAUCUGUAAUGGAAAGAGUGUGGCCGUGUUCCGAGGAAACUUUAUUUUCAGAAACAGGGCACAGGCUGGAUUGGUCCGCCCGCCCUUGGUGCAGAGUCUUGGGAGAGGGUCCUUGGGGUGGCUGCGUUAUGAGUCCAAGAUGGAGAGCAUAGUUGUGUGAAGAUGGCGGGAAGUCGAAGUGAAUGGCCAAACGCUGGGCUUUGGGCAGGCCUGGGUUUCCAGUCCGAUCUCUGAAGCUUGGCUGCUGUGUGACCCUGGGCCACUUACUUCCCCUCUCUGAGCCCCAGUUCCCUUCUCUGUAAAAUACAAGCAAUAAUAAUACCUACUCUCCAAGGUCUGUUGGGAUGAUGACUUAGCAAGGCCUGGUGCUCGGGGAGCCCUCGGCAAACACGUCAUCGUUUACGUCUGUCGUAGAAGGGCAGCGUUGCCCACCCAGCCGCACGGGUCUGUGGUGAGCAAGAGGGAGAAGAUAAAAUGCUGCUUCUUCUCAACCAAGCUUCGAAUCCCAACUCUGAGACGGAAUUGCUGGGUGACUGUGGGCAAAGCGCCUCACCUCUCUGAGCCUCAGACUCUUUCAUCUGUAGAAUGGGGCUGAUCGUCUCUGCCUCUCAGCAUCACUGCACGUAGAAGGCGUGGAAGGAGCUCGAAGAAGGAGCGCCCUCCCCUUCCGCUCGCGGCUCUGUUUGGGCGGUGGCCGCGGUGGCCACCUGGCGGCUCUGUAUCCGCGGAGGGCGAGCAGACCCCUCAUCUCUCCCCUCCCUUAGCCUGCAUCUCUCCUGCAUCUCCAUCAACGGCACCUGCCGGUGGUCCAGCCAAGCCCCUGGGGGUCGUCAGCGUCCUCCUCCGGCCGCCACGGCCCGGCCACGCCUGCUGCCCCUCCCGCCGGCAGGAGGGUCUCUUCCCGUCUUUGCUGCUGGUUUUGGC